rnacentral:sRNA from 2 species
ACCACUGUUAAUCUAUACCACUGCCAAUCUAUCUAUCACUGCUAAUCUAUCACUGCUGCCAAUCUAUCUACUGCUGUCAAUCUAUCUAUCACUGUCAAUCUAUCUAUCACUGCUAAUCUAUUGCUGCUAAUCUAUUGCUGCUAAUCUAUUGCUGUUAAUCUAUCUAUCACUGCUAAUCUAUUGCUGUCAAUCUAUCUACCACUGUCAAUCUAUCUAUUACUGCUAAUCUAUCUACUGCUGUCAAUCUAUCUAUCACUGCUAAUCUAUCACUGCUAAUCUAUCACUGCUAAUCUAUUGCUGUUAAUCUAUCUAUCACUGCUAAUCUAUCACUGUCAAUCUAUCUAUCACUGUCAAUCUAUCUACCACUCUCAAUCUAUCUACUACUAUCAAUCUAUCUAUCACUGCUAAUCUAUCACUGCUAAUCUAUCACU